rnacentral:rRNA from 1 species
UUUGGGGUGAAAGUGGCGCAAGGGUGAGUAACGCGUGGAUAAUCUACCUCUAAGUUGGGGAUAACCUUCCGAAAGGAGGGCUAACACCGAAUGUGGUCACUUCACAUAAGUGGGGAGGAUCAAAGAUGGGGAUCUUUCGGGACCUGUCGCUUGGAGAGGAGUCUGCGUGCCAUCAGCUAGUUGGUAGGGUAAUGGCCUACCAAGGCUUACGGCUAGCUGGUCUGAGAGGAUGACCAGCCACACUGGGACUGAGACACUGCCCAGACUCCUACGGGAGGCUGCAGUCGAGGAUCUUGGACAAUGGGGGAAACCCUGAUCCAGCGACGCUGCGUGGAGGAUGAAGGCCUUCGGGUUGUAAACUCCUGUCAUUCGGGAAAAACGACUUUGGGAUUAAUACUUCCAGAGAGUGAUGGUACCGAAAGAGGAAGCCACGGCUAACUCUGUGCCAGCAGCCGCGGUAAUACAGAGGUGGCAAGCGUUGUUCGGAUUUACUGGGCGUAAAGGGUGCGUAGGUGGUCGCUCGUGUCGGGUGUGAAAGCCCACGGCUUAACCGUGGAACGGCAUUCGAAACUGGGUGACUUGAGUACAGGAGGGGAGAGCGGAAUUCUUGGUGUAGCGGUGAAAUGCGUUGAUAUCAAGAAGAACACCGGUGGCGAAGGCGGCUCUCUGGAAUGUUACUGACACUGAGGCACGAAAGCUGGGGGAGCAAACAGGAUUAGAUACCCUGGUAGUCCCAGCUGUAAACGGUGUGCGCUUGGUGUGGGGAGAUUUGACCCUCCCCGUGCCGGAGCUAACGCGUUAAGCGCACCGCCUGGGGAGUACGGUCGCAAGACUAAAACUCAAAGAAAUUGACGGGGGCCCGCACAAGCGGUGGAGUAUGUGGCUUAAUUCGAUCCACGCGAAGAACCUUACCAGGGUUUGACAUGUAUUGUAACCUCGGUGAAAGCCGGGUAGCUGGGUUAAACCAGCGCUUUACACAGGUGCUGCAUGGCUGUCGUCAGCUCGUGUCGUGAGAUGUUGGGUUAAGUCCCGCAACGAGCGCAACCCCUGUGUCCUGUUGCCACUCCUUAAUUGGAAGCACUCUGGACAGACUGCCCUGUGAAACGGGGAGGAAGGUGGGGAUGACGUCAAGUCAGCAUGGCCCUUACACCCUGGGCUGCACACGUACUACAAUGCUCAGUACAAUAGGAGCCGAAACCGCGAGGUGGAGGAAAUCACUAAAACUGAGCCCAAUUCGGAUCGCAGGCUGCAACUCGCCUGCGUGAAGCCGGAAUCGCUAGUAAUGGCGCAUCAGCUACGGCGCCGUGAAUACGUUCCCGGGCCUUGUACACACCGCCCGUCACAUCAUGGGAGUCACUUGCACCCGAAGUGCACAAUUUGUGCCCUACGGUAUGAGUGGUAACUGGGAUGAAGUCGGAACAAGGUA